UCUCCGUUGGUGAACCAGCGGAGGGAUCAUUACAGAGUUGUAAAACUCCCAAACCCAUGUGAACAUACCUGUUGCCUCGGUGGCCUACCCGGUAGCUACCCUGUAGCUACCCUGUAGUCCGCCGACGGAACUUAAAACUCUUGUUUUCAAUUGUCAUUUCUGAGAAUAAAACAAAUAAGUUAAAACUUUCAACAACGGAUCUCUUGGUUCUG
rnacentral:misc_RNA from 1 species